UACAGAGGAGCCAAGCGUUGUCCGGAUUGACUGGGCGUAAAGCGCACGCAGGCAGUCGCGCGCGUGGGGUGUGAAAUCUGGCCGCUUAACGGCCAGGCGCCAUCCCAUACGGCGCGACUGGAGUGAUGCAGAGGUCGGUGGAAUUGCCGGUGUAGUGGUGAAAUGCGUAGAGAUCGGCAGGAACACCCAGGGGGAAACCAGCCGACUGGGCAUUGACUGACGCUGAGGUGCGAGAGCGUGGGGAGCGAACCGG
rnacentral:rRNA from 1 species